rnacentral:rRNA from 1 species
GAGGAAUAUUGGGCAAUGCCCGCAAGGGUGACCCAGCAACGCCGCGUGGAGGAUGAAUGUCGUAAGAUUGUAAACUCCUGUUAGAGGGGAAGAAUAGUACCGGUUGGACCGGUAUAUGACUGUACCCUCAGAGAAAGCCCCGGCUAACUACGUGCCAGCAGCCGCGGUAAUACGUAGGGGGCAAGCGUUGUCCGGAUGUACUGGGUGUAAAGGGCGCGCAGGCGGGAUAAAAAGUCAGUGGUGAAAUCCUACAGCUUAACUGUAGAACUGCCUUUGAUACUUUUAUUCUUGAGUUCGGGAGAGAGAGACGGAAUUCCAGGUGUAGUGGUGAAAUACAUAGAUAUCUGGAAGAACACCAGUUGCGAAGGCGGUCUCUUGGUCCGACACUGACGCUGAGGCGCGAAAGCGUGGGGAGCAAACA